rnacentral:rRNA from 1 species
UAAUACGAAUGUGGCAAGCGUUGUUCGGAAUCACUGGGCGUAAAGAAUGCGUAGGCGGCUUAACAAGUCAGGAGUGAAAUCCCAGGGCUCAACCCUGGAACUGCUCUUGAAACUGUUUUGCUAGAGUCCCGGAGGGGUUAGCGGAAUUCCGAGUGUAGAGGUGAAAUUCGCAGAUAUUCGGAGGAACACCAGUGGCGAAGGCGGCUAACUGGACGGGAACUGACGCUGAGGCAUGAAAGUGUGGGGAUCAAACAGG